AGUGAACGCUGGCGGUAGGCCUAACACAUGCAAGUCGAACGGCAGCACAGUGAGAGCUUGCUCUUACGGGUGGCGAGUGGCGGACGGGUGAGGAAUACAUCGGAAUCUACUUUUUCGUGGGGGAUAACGUAGGGAAACUUACGCUAAUACCGCAUACGACCUACGGGUGAAAGCAGGGGAUCUUCGGACCUUGCGCGAUUGAAUGAGCCGAUGUCGGAUUAGCUAGUUGGCGGGGUAAAGGCCCACCAAGGCGACGAUCCGUAGCUGGUCUGAGAGGAUGAUCAGCCACACUGGAACUGAGACACGGUCCAGACUCCUACGGGAGGCAGCAGUGGGGAAUAUUGGACAAUGGGCGCAAGCCUGAUCCAGCCAUACCGCGUGGGUGAAGAAGGCCUUCGGGCUGUAAAGCCCUUUUGUUGGGAAAGAAAAGCAGCAGGUUAAUACCCCGCUGUUCUGACGGUACCCAAAGAAUAAGCACCGGCUAACUUCGUG
rnacentral:rRNA from 1 species